rnacentral:rRNA from 1 species
UAGAGUUUGAUCAUGGCUCAGGAUGAACGCUGGCGGCGUGCCUAACACAUGCAAGUUGAGCGAGAAAUCACUUAAAGAAGCUUCGGUAGACUUAAGAGAUGGAGAGCAGCGGACGGGUGAGUAACGCGUGGGAAACCUGCCCUUGACAGGAGGAUAGCCGAGAGAAAUUUCGAUUAAUACUUCAUAAAGCAGAGCAUUCGCAUGGAUGAACUGCCAAAGAAUUAUCGGUCAAGGAUGGUCCCGCGUCUGAUUAGCUGGUUGGUAAGGUAGCGGCUUACCAAGGCGACGAUCAGUAGCCGGCCUGAGAGGGUGAACGGCCACAUUGGAACUGAGACACGGUCCAGACUCCUACGGGAGGCAGCAGUGGGGAAUAUUGCACAAUGGGCGAAAGCCUGAUGCAGCAACGCCGCGUGAAGGAAGAAGGCUUUCGAGUCGUAAACUUCUGUCCAAAGGGAAGAAUAAUGACGGUACCUUUGAAGAAAGCCCCGGCUAACUACGUGCCAGCAGCCGCGGUAAUACGUAGGGGGCGAGCGUUAUCCGGAAUUACUGGGCGUAAAGAGUAUGUAGGUGGUUAAGUAAGCGUAGGGUUUAAGGCGACAGCCCAACUGUCGUAUGCCCCGCGAACUGUUUAACUUGAGUACAGGAGGGGAAGGCGGAAUUCCUAGUGUAGCGGUGAAAUGCGUAGAUAUUAGGAGGAACACCAGUGGCGAAGGCGGCCUUCUGGACUGUAACUGACACUGAGAUACGAAAGCGUGGGUAGCAAACAGGAUUAGAUACCCUGGUAGUCCACGCCGUAAACGAUGAGCACUAGGUGUCGGGCUCGCAAGAGUUCGGUGCCGGAGCAAACGCAUUAAGUGCUCCGCCUGGGGAGUACGCACGCAAGUGUGAAACUCAAAUGAAUUGACGG